AAGGAGGAGGAUGCAGCAGCUGCUGUGAGAGCCCCAGUUACAGCAGCCGGGCUCCCCACGGCAGGUGGUGAGGAGGUGAAGGAGAUGGCAUUUGGGCAGCGCUCACAUCGCCAACCGUGGUUCCCCAUCUCCUCUGAGAAGAAGGGGUGGGCUGCGCGGAGACUUUCCGGGGGCUGGAGCUGCACCACACUCUGUGAGAAUCCGGCAGUUCUCGACUCUGAAAUGUGUCCAGUGAGGCGGGCAGGCAGCGCAGCCAGCAUUUAUGAAGCUCUCCUGGCCCUAAUUCCAGCCAUACAGAUGUAAAUCCAGAAGGGCCUUGCUGCCUCUACUGGGAGCAUUCAGGAUUUUCACCUGUGCGUAGCAGGAGGUGGAGCUGAGACAAGUGCCCGGUUAGCCUGUUAGCCCGACGCUGUACGGCACGGCCUUUUUCUUACUGUUGAGCUCAGGAGGGCUGCAGCCCUUCUGGGGUGUACAGGUGAUAGCGUACAUCGGAUAACAAGAAAUAAUGUAAAAGUUUGUGCCAGGCAAGGCUGAGUGCCACUUGUUUUGCUUGAGCAAGUCAUUCCUUGAGAUCAGCAUCGUCCUGUCCAUCACUUCUGGCUUGCACCGAGUCACCGGACGCUUCUGGAGCCCUGAAAAUCCAAGGGACAUGACAGCAGGGGAAGUGGCAAUUACGCGUUUUCUAUGUGCUAUAAAAUGCAAUGGGUGGGAUUUGCUGGCCUGAAGGCAGCUGGCUGAAAAUGCGUGUGAACUACUCGGAGCGAGAGCCUAGCAUCCCCGUGGCCGGUCAGCUCCGCCAUCUGGAGUGGCAAAUCACCUGCGGGGGGACGUGUUUCCCUCCAUCGACCACAGAGUGACCCUAAAUGUGACACCCACCUCUCCCUGGGCCAGCCGGACCCCAACCUGCCUGUGGAUGCUGCUGUGCGAGGCAGGAGACGAAGGGCAGGAUGUAAAGUGAGUGGGGGCAUUAGCACCACCGAAUCGUGGCAAGGGAUUAGCAGAUCCUUAAAUUCCCUCUGUGGUUCGUGUGGUUGAUGGGGAGAGAUGCACACUCCCAGGAGGUAACUCACAGCGGUGAAGUUAAGCUCCUGCUCCGAAAUGCGCUGCCAAGGGGCUGCCUUUCUCCAGCGGCUGUGUAAGAACUCUCAGGCUGGUUGGGAGAGCUUCAGGCACCUUGAACUCCCUCAGCUGGGCAGUGCGAAUGCCCCGUCCACCUGGGACAUGUCCAAACCCUGCUGUGUGGGGAGACCUUCAGUCACCCUGGGCUGGGAGGGGAUGUGCUUGAGGUGCCACGCCACCCGGACUACAAACCAAAGUCAGUCCCUUCUGAGAGAUGUGGGAGGAAACUGGAGGUGCUGAACUCCCCCAUCCUUCCUCAGAAAAUAAGCUUUCUCCCAGCUCUUACGAUACCAAGCACACACUGGUA